AUGUCAAAUCAUCAUGCCCCUUACGUCUAGGGCUACACACGUGCUACAAUGGUCUAUACAAAGUGAAGCAAUACAGCGAUGUGGAGCGAACCACGAAAAAAGACCUCAGUUCGGAUUGCAGGCUGCAACUCGCCUGCAUGAAGUUGGAAUCGCUAGUAAUCGCGAAUCAGCAUGUCGCGGUGAAUACGUUCCCGGGCCUU
rnacentral:rRNA from 1 species